rnacentral:misc_RNA from 1 species
GAUGAAGAACGUAGCGAAAUGCGAUAAGUAAUGUGAAUUGCAGAAUUCAGUGAACCAUCGAAUCUUUGAACGCACAUUGCGCCCGGCAGUAAUCUGCCGGGCAUGCCUGUCCGAGCGUCAUUUCUACCCACGAGCGAGUCCAGCAUCUAGGUGCUGGGCCUCGCCCGGCGUUGGAGCACUACGGGAAGCCCUGUGCUGUCCCCCGUAGGCCCCGAAAUGAAGUGGCGGUCCUGCCGCGGCGCCCCCUGCGUAGUAUAACAGCUCGCUUCGGGACCCGGUGGAGGCCUGCCGUCAAACCUAUACUCUCUAAGUUUGACCUCGGAUCAGGUAGGGUUACCCGCUGAACUUAAGCAUAUCAAUAAGCGGAGGA